CUCAGGAUGAACGCUAGCGGCAGGCUAACACAUGCAAGUCGAGGGGCAGCGCGGGGUAGCAAUACUCUGGCGGCGACCGGCGAAAGGGUGAGUAACGCGUGAGCAACGUGCCCGUAUGUGGGGGAUAGUCGAUGGAAACGUCGCGUAAUACCCCGUAACACAUUUUCCCGCAUGGGGAGGUGUUGAAAGAUUGAUUGCAUACGGAUCGGCUCGCGUGCCAUUAGGUAGACGGCGGGGUAACGGCCCACCGUGCCGACGAUGGCUAGGGGUUCUGAGAGGAAGGUCCCCCCACAUUGGAACUGAGACACGGUCCAGACUCCUACGGGAGGCAGCAGUGAGGAAUAUUGGACAAUGGCCGGAAGGCUGAUCCAGCCAUGCCGCGUGCGGGAAGGAACCGGCCCUAUGGGUUGUAAACCGCUUUUGCGGGGGAGCAAUAAGGUGCACGUGUGCACCGAUGAGAGUACCCUGCGAAUAAGCAUCGGCUAACUCCGUGCCAGCAGCGGC
rnacentral:rRNA from 1 species